UUGCUUUGAAGAGACGAACCCCUUGCUCGUUCGAUGUGGAAUAUCGAAUCAUUACUCCAUUAGGAAAGUUUAUGGCGCCUUUGAGAGGUCAGGUUCAGGGUUGUCGAUGUCGCUUCCCCUUACCCCCUUUCAUCUGGCAAUUUGUUUACCCAGCGAUUAUUCAUUUGUACGAAAUUGUACGCAACAAAAUGGUCGAUAGGUGGGAUGUGAUCUGCUGAUCUACUGCAGAGAUGCUGA
rnacentral:lncRNA from 1 species